GUCAGCUGACGAGUCCCAAAUAGGACGAAACGCGCGUCCUCGAU
rnacentral:hammerhead_ribozyme from 1 species